UUACCUAGGCUUGACAUGUGGUGAGUAGCGAACCGAAAGGGGAAGCGACCCGUAAAAUCGGGCCAUCACACAGGUGCUGCAUGGCUGUCGUCAGCUCGUGCCGUGAGGUGUUGGGUUCAGUCCCGCAACGAGCGCAACCCUCGCCCUUUGUUGCCAUCGGGUAAAGCCGGGCACUCUAAGGGGACUGCCAGCGACAAGUUGGAGGAAGGAGAGGAUGACGUCAAGUCAUCAUGGCCUUUAUGCCUAGGGCCACACACGUGCAACAAUGGCCGGUACAGACGGAGGCAAUGCCGAGAGGCGGAGCAAACCCGAGAAAACCGGUCCCAGUUCGGAUUGAGGUCUGCAACUCGACCUCAUGAAGUCGGAAUCGCUAGUAAUCGCAUAUCAGA
rnacentral:rRNA from 1 species